rnacentral:tRNA from 1 species
AUUAAGAUGUCUGAAAAAAGUAGUAAACUGUAAAUUUACUUAUGAGUAAAAUUUUAACUCUCUUAAUA